AAAGCCAUUCUCAGUUCGGAUUGCAGGCUGCAACUCGCCUGCAUGAAGCCGGAAUCGCUAGUAAUCGCGGAUCAGCAUGCCGCGGUGAAUACGUUCCCGGGCCUUGUACACACCGCCCGUCACACCACGAGAGUUGGUAACACCCGAAGUCGGUGAGGUAACCUUUUAGGAGCCAGCCGCCGAAGGUGGGAUCAAUGAUUGGGGUGAAGUCGUAACAAGGUAGCCGUAUCGGAAGGUGCGGCUGGAUCACCUCCUUUCUAAGGA
rnacentral:rRNA from 1 species